rnacentral:rRNA from 1 species
UACGAAGGGGGCUAGCGUUGUUCGGAAUUACUGGGCGUAAAGCGCACGUAGGCGGAUAUUUAAGUCAGGGGUGAAAUCCCGGGGCUCAACCCCGGAACUGCCUUUGAUACUGGGUAUCUGGAGUCCGGAAGAGGUGAGUGGAAUUCCGAGUGUAGAGGUGAAAUUCGUAGAUAUUCGGAGGAACACCGGUGGCGAAGGCGGCUCACUGGUCCGGUACUGACGCUGAGGUGCGAAGGCGUGGGGAGCAAACAGG